rnacentral:tRNA from 1 species
AGCGUUGAGGUCGCUGU